CCUUUCCUCUCAAGUUUAUCUUCCACGCCAUCUCUCCUGAACACUGUCACCCCAAUUCCCCUUUCAGAUCUCAGCCUUAAGAUCACUUCCUCAAUAAUUCGCUCCUGAAGCUAUCAACCAUCAUCCCACUCCCAGUUAAGAUGGAUUCCCUUCUCUUACACAGAUGCAGCAACUUAUGUCUUCUCUAUAUAUUUUGUCUCAUAUAUGUUUAUAAAUUAUUAAUGAAUUUUUUUCAUAUUUAUCAUAAACCACAGAUUGUUCUUGGCAGGCAGGCAGCAGUGUUACCUGUGGCAACGCCUCCCAUGCACAGCGCUGUCCCUGGUACUGGGCAGCCAAGCGGUACCACUGAGCUAAUACUAUUUACCAACAAUGUUGCAUUGGAGCCAUGGGAAAGAGAACUCCUGUGAGCUUAUAUUUCCUCAGGUGAAAC
rnacentral:lncRNA from 1 species